ACGAACGUUGGCGGCGUGGAUUAGGCAUGCAAGUCGAACGGAAGCCAGUUUUGUAGCAAUACAGAGCUGGUGACGUGGCGAAAGGGGCAGUAAUGCGUGAGUAACCUACCCUGUGGACGGGGAUAAACGUCUAAACAACGGGCAAUACCCGGCGAUCUGGUUGGGGGGCAUCUCCUGGCCAGCAAAUGAAUUUCGCCCUGGGAGGGGCUCACGUCGUAUUAGCUAGUUGGUGGGGUAACGGCCUACCAAGGCUUAGAUGCGUAGCUGGUGUGAGAGCACGACCAGCGCCACUGGCACUGAGACACUGGCCAGACUCCUACGGGAGGCUGCAGUCGAGGAUUUUCCGCAAUGGGCGCAAGCCUGACGGAGCGACGCCGCGUGCGCGAUGAAGGCCUUCGGGUUGUAAAGCGCUGUCGAGGGGGAGGAAAGCCGUAAGGUCUGACCUAUCCCUGGAGGAAGCACGGGCUAAGUUCGU
rnacentral:rRNA from 1 species